rnacentral:rRNA from 1 species
UAGGGAAUAUUGGUCAAUGGGUGAGAGCCUGAACCAGCCAUGCCGCGUGCAGGAAGAAGGCCUUCUGGGUUGUAAACUGCUUUUGCCAGGGGAUAAAAUGACCUUGCGAGGUUAAUUGAAGGUACCUGGUGAAUAAGCCACGGCUAACUACGUGCCAGCAGCCGCGGUAAUACGUAGGUGGCAAGCGUUGUCCGGAUUUAUUGGGUUUAAAGGGUGCGUAGGCGGCCCUGUAAGUCAGUGCUGAAAUAUUCCAGCUUAACUGGGAGGGUGGCAUUGAUACUGUGGGGCUAGAGUACAGAUGAGGUAGGCGGAAUUGACGGUGUAGCGGUGAAAUGCUUAGAUAUCGUCAAGAACACCUAUAGCGAAGGCAGCUUACUAGGCUGUAACUGACGCUGAGGCACGAAAGUGUGGGGAUCAAACAGGAUUAGAUACCCUGGUAGUCCACACUGUAAACGUUGAUUACUCGCUGUGUGCGAUAUACAGUACG